GACGAACCGUGCGAACGUUAUUCGGAAUCACUGGGCUUAAAGCGCGUGUAGGCGGGACGGCACGUCCGGCGCUGAAAUCCCCCGGCUCAACCGGGGAACGGGCGCGGAUACGACCGGCCUGGAGGGACGUAGGGGGACCUGGAACUUCCGGUGGAGCGGUGAAAUGCGUUGAGAUCGGAAGGAACGCCCGUGGCGAAAGCGAGGUCCUGGACGUCUGCUGACGCUGAGACGCGAAAGCCAGGGGAGCGAACGGG
rnacentral:rRNA from 1 species